rnacentral:lncRNA from 1 species
UUUUUAUUUAUCGAAAAUACUACUAGUUCUAUUGUAUCUUCAGUAUUUUUUAUAUUUUCUAACUUUUGUGUAAUUUUUUCACUUCCUUUUAUCCAAUCAGUUUUCUUUCUUAUUUUAUUAUUAACUCUUUUUGCUCUUACUUUUUGUUUACAUGGUGUUGUAAACCACCAGUCUAUUUUGGUUAUUAUAUGUGGGUAUAAUUUAUCUAAGAAUGACAUUCCUAAAAGUAUAUCUUUUGAUGUUAAUUC